rnacentral:rRNA from 1 species
UACGUAGGGGGCGAGCGUUGUCCGGAUUUAUUGGGCGUAAAGAGCUCGUAGGCGGUUCGGUAAGUCGGAUGUGAAAUCUCCACGCUCAACGUGGAGGGGCCAUUCGAUACUGCCGUGACUCGAGUCCGGUAGGGGAGUGUGGAAUUCCCGGUGUAGCGGUGAAAUGCGCAGAGAUCGGGAGGAACACCCGUAGCGAAGGCGGCACUCUGGGCCGGUACUGACGCUCAUGCACGAAAGCGUGGGGAGCAAACAGG